rnacentral:rRNA from 1 species
UACGGAGGGGGCAAGCGUUGUUCGGAGUCACUGGGCGUAAAGGGCGCGUAGGCGGUGCGUAAAGUCAGGCGUGAAAGCCCCGGGCUUAACCUGGGAAUUGCGCUUGAUACUGACGUGCUAGAGAACGGGAGAGGAUGGCGGAAUUCCCAGUGUAGAGGUGAAAUUCGUAGAUAUUGGGAAGAACACCAGCGGCGAAGGCGGCAUCCUGGACUGGUCCUGACACUCAGGAGCGAAAGCGUGGGGAGCGAUCCGG